GGUAGAAGAGUGUGGUGAACACGAAAGAAGACGCAGCAGGAGGAAGUUCGGAAUGAAUGAGAGGUCGAACGAAUGAAUGAACGGAUGGAAACCGCACAAGGAGGGGACGGCAGGGAGGACAGGGAAGGAGCCAGGGUCACCCGCCAGAGCCUCGCCUAAGCGGGGUUCAGGAAGGACAGCGAGGGAGGCACCGGCUGCGACCUGCUGGGACGCGUGCGCCUGCAAAAUCCGUCCCGCGCGCAGCCUCCCGGCCUCCCAGAGAAGGCUAGAGUCCAAAGAGUCACAGUUUUAAAAGACAGAAAUGUUCACGACUUAUUUUACACACGCACACACUCACACAUGCGCGGUGUGCAGGGUCUUCUCCAGCAGUGCCUGGGAAGAUAACGUGACAAGAGCGCUCCCGCCCCCGGCGAGCCCCAAUUCCCCUUAAAAAAUGUCAAUGCAUUUUAGGGGCUUCUUUCGCCACUGAGUUUUGGGGGUGUAGGCAAGGGGUGGGGAGAGACGUGGACGGGAAGAGUGGACUUUAUUUUAUUUCGUUUCUUCUCUGCAAAGCUGUAUUUGUGACAUGCGUUACAGAGGAAGAUGUGUGGAGUGUAUUGCCAUUUUGAACGAGUUCUAUUAGAACAAAGAUUCGUUUAUUCUUAAGAUUUUACGUCAGUGUUCGAUUUGUUAGUAUUGUAGUCGCAAGGAUAUUUAAUUUUCGCUGUAAGGUGAACUCGGAGGUUUAAGAAGGUUUACGUAUCUGCCCCAGCGGAGGUCGAAGUUAACCUUGGUCCCUUCCCCAGUGCUUCCCGUUCCGGAUUAAAAAGCGCAAGGCCCGCCUCGCUCUUCCUGCAGCAAUUUGCAAACGGUACGCUCUCGGAAGCUGCUACCGGUUCGGUCACCUUCCUCUUCGGCGUCUGGCCCGGCGCUCGCGGACAGGCGCCCGCGUUGGGGGCCGGGGGGUUGAGGUGUCCUGUCCUCCCGGGACACAUUCACACACAAGCGCAGCCGCCGGAAAGCUGCUGAGGACCAGGCCGGCGCCCAGGGUCGUGGGCGCCAGUGCGGAUUUCGAUUCCGAGAUUCACCCUUUCUUCCCCGCCCUAACGCUGUGCGUCUCUGGCGCCCUCCCGGCGCCCGGGCUGCUUUGGGCCGCUAGGCACUGAGCCUCCAGCCGGGUUCGUCGGCCUCUGGGCGGAAAGAGAUGGCCACAGCCGCGCGCCCGCAGCCUGGUACCUGUCUUUCCAGUCCCGCGCCUCGGGGUUUGGCCGUCCAGAGGCCGGGGGCUUGGGGCUUGGGGCUUGGACCUUCGUGCGGCCUGUGUUUCCUCCUCCUCCUCCUCCCGCCGCUCAGCUUUUGUCCCUGCCCGCUCUCUGCAGGGAGUCCUGAGCUGGGGCCAGGAGCCCCGGGCCGAGACGAGCUCACUUUCAGCAGCAGGGCUGGGACCUGGAGAAGAACAGCCUCUCCCCGCUGCUGUCCGGAGUGGAGGCGGGCUUUUUGGCGGGCGGAUGGGUUGUUAAGGAUGUCUGGGGAGCUGAGUGGCGGACAGAGGAGGAGGAAAGAAAGAGGCCCGAGGUUCGUGGAUUUGGCCUUCGCGGAGGUGACUGGGGCAGACUCAUCCGUGACCCCGCCCGGCUUCUGGCCUUGUCGGCUCCAGACCACUCAUCAUCCGCGCCAGGUCGCAGGACGUCUAGGCUGCCCUCCUUCCAGUGGGGCGGGAGAGGGUGCAUCCGAGGGUCUCACUCGGAAUACAGAGUCCACGUGUUUGCUGAGCGCCCGCCAAGGACAGAGCGCCAAGCCUGAGGCUUAUUCUCGUGAUGUGGCGUUGGGUUCAGCUGCGUGACCCCACGCCCCGUCGUCUCCCCACCCCGUUCUCGCCCCCGCACGCUGCAGCCGAGACCCCUUCUGUCACCUCAAAAUGGAAGAUCGCAUUGCGAGAGCUGUGACAGCGCUUGCUAGGGAAGUGUUGGGAGACGAAGGAGGGAGUGAGGAGAAAGAGAAAUAAAAGGGAUGAGGGAGCGUAUCUGGUGCAGGCCGUGAGAGCAGCGGGCAAGUGCGAUGCGGUCUUCAAGGGCUUUUCGGACUGUUUGCUCAAGCUGGGCGACAGCAUGGC